CUAUAAUCCUGCAGAAAAUAUUUCUGAUGCUAACUUCCAAAUAAUUGAAAAUAUGGUUCAUUGCAAAAAUUUGGAGACUUCAUGCCAUGGAGAAGGUGAAGUUAAAGUUUAUUUACUGGAGGUUUUGGGAGUUGUGGAACAAUUAACAAUUAUGACAUCAAAUGUUAUUCUUAGUACAACCAUGUCAAAUAACACUUUUAAAGCUAGUGGAACUAAUUUAACUUAUUAUGUACGGCAUGGUGCAGUGCCUUCAAUGGCACUGCAUGACUAUUCUGGUGACAUAAGUAAAGAUCCCCUGGUUAUUCACUCACCAAAGGUUGGAC
rnacentral:misc_RNA from 1 species